rnacentral:tRNA from 1 species
CGGGAUGUAGCCUAGGGGCUAAGGCGUCUGGUUUGGGACCAGAAGAUCGGGGGUUCAAAUCCCUCCAUCCCGAUAG